rnacentral:tRNA from 3 species
UGCGUCUUUAGCUCAGCUGGAUAGAGCAACGCCCUUCUAAGGCGUGGGCCAGGGGUUCGAAUCCCUUAAGACGCACCAU